CUUCAAUAAUAUGAUCUGCAGCAUCAUGAUCUUCACAUGCCACAGUGUUUAGUUAUUACAUUGCUCAUUCUCUUGUUGAGAUUUCACAGGAUAAUUUAGACUUGAGACGUGGUCUCUCUACUGCUGAGUAAUGGCUGCUGCUGCUGCUUCUUUUUCUCAAAGGCGCUAUGAUGUGUUCCUGAGCUUCAGAGGAGAAGACACCCGCAAUAACUUCACUGCUCACCUCGACAAGGAGUUACGAGCCCAAGGAAUCGACAGUUUCAUCAUUGAAGAGAAGCUUGAGAGGGGCAAAGCCAUAUCUUCUACACUUGUUGCAGCUAUUGAAAACUCCAAGUUUUCUAUCAUUGUUUUAUUUCACUUUUAUAUAGAAUAUGUUAAUCCUAAGUUAACAUGUAGGAUAUACUUAUCUCAUAUAUCAUAAAUUUUAUCAAUUUUUUUUU